GAGCGCAAAACAUCUAUUAGUCUCAGGACUUACCUUCCACCCCUCUCAAUUAUUCAUCCUCUCUCUCUCUCUCUCUCUCUCUCUCUCUCUCUCUCUCUCUCUCUCAAAUAAAUAGUGUGGAUCUUCCCCUGCCUCUCCUUAUUACAAGAAUAGGUUUAGUGCUUUCUUUCGAGUAUUUUGAUCCGUUCUCCUUCAUCUGAUCUCAUGGGUGUUUAACAAAGGGUUUCUAACAGAGUUCUUUGGCAUUCUGUCCACCUCCCCUUUUAUUUAUCAAAACCAACGGCUGUAAGAGGGUAUAGAUAUACGGAAAAUACAAGAAACUUUGUACAUCUGAGCGUGAAGUUGAUGAGGGUCUAGUGUUAAGAAUAGAAGGAAGAUAGAGAUGGUGGUUUAUUAUUUGUGUGGGGGUGGAGGUGGGCAUACUGCCAAUGGAGUUCUGUUGGUAUCUCUUUGUAAAACCCUCUUGAUGAUAUAUAUUACCUUGCUGGACUCUCAUCGUUAUUGAUGCUUUACACACAAAAUUAAAUGCAGAGGUUCCGUUGCAAUAUCGUUCAUUUUCCAUCUUGAUCUAACUCGUUCCUGUUGUUUGAUUAAUUUUGUACUUCAACUUCACUUGAUAAUUAAAUUCACUUGUAGUCAGUCUUUCAGGAGAUCAUGCAUGCUAAUAGUACUUUGACCUUUAUGUGUGUUUCUAAGCUUGAUUCAACAAGGCUUCUCUCUUCUUUAUGUGAGUUAUAUUAUGUUUUUUUUUCUCUGACUUCUAUAUCUUUAGAAGACCAUGCAUGCUUGUUUAGAGGGUGAUUAAUUAUGAUUUUAUCUAUGUACCAUCUAAUCUUCUACUAUAUUUAAUUUAUGUAUGUUUUUUUUCAGUACUGGUGUAAUGAUUCAUCGCAAAAAGAAGAUAUCAUCAUCAAAAGUAAAGCACAUGCUUAGGUUUGUAAUACAUACAUGAUCUAAUGGAAGAACCUAGAAGAUCACAGAAGUCUUUCGCCAUCAAGAUUUGAUUUUAAUUAUAAGAAAAACAGUUGAAAUUUAGAAAUACUUCAUGAGUGCAUGUAUGCCUCGCUCGGUAACUUGGUGUACACAGAGGAUCGAGGUGUACUGGUUGAUGGUACUAGCUAGCUCUUAGUUGAAAAGAUUGUAGUCUUGUACCAACAUUUAAUGAUGCAUGUUACAGGAAGGAGGGAUAAAGAGGUAGGCCAAAUAGAUAUAUGGAUUUAUAACCUUAUCUCACAUAUAGAUGCAUUAAACAUUAAAAUAUUGUAAAAGUAUAAAGAAUGUGUUUGUUAGACAUAUAUUAACAUUCCUAGGAUGACAGGGUUAUUAAUAGUAACCAGCCAAAUUACAUCAAAAUUAGCGUAACCUUUUGUAUUAAUUACGAAAAACUAUAAAUAUAUGGUGCGGUUUUUUA